rnacentral:sRNA from 1 species
GCUGACAGUUGCUUGUGAACAAACUGAAGUUCUGCUUUUUGACCCUAUAUCUUCAAAGCACAUAAAAACACUUUCUGAAGCUCAUGAAGACUGUGUAAAUAAUAUCAGGUAUACAGAAGAUGGGUGUCCACAUAAGAAAUUCUUUCACACACGUUUUCUCAUGCGAAUGAGGUUAACACCAGAUUGUUCCAAAAUGUUGAUUUCAACAUCCUCUGGAUAUCUCUUAAUUUUGCAUGAUCUUGACUUAACUAAGUCUUUAGAAGUAGGCAGCUAUCCCAUUUUAAGAGCAAGAAGAACUACUUCAAGUUCAGAUUUGACCACUUCAUCAAGUUCAUCUGGUCCUAGAGUUUCUGGCUCACCUUGUCAUCAUAGUGAUUCUAAUUCUUCUGAGAAACACAUGUCACGAGCCUCUCAAAGAGAAGGAGUUUCACCACGAAAUAGUCUUGAAGUCGUAACCCCUGAAGUUCUUGGUGAGAGUGACCACGGAAACUGCAUCACGUCCUUACAGCUGCACCCAAAAGGCUGGGCCACUCUUCUUCGGUGCUCAAGCAACAGUGAUGAUGAGGAGGUACAGGCAGCAGCACUCCACCUUCAACAGGGCUCAUUGGACAAAUUGCCAUUGCCGUGUGUGCAGACCUUAGGCCGAUCGCUGACUGCAGUCUCUGCCUUCAAGGGCAUACUGCUAGAGAUCCUGCUUCUCGACUCUCCUGUUUCUGUCCUCUCUUGUUUCAUAUGGUAUCAUUAUCCCUUCCAAACUCUUCUUAUUCCUCUCCUGCUGGGGUUGAGCAAGGUGGGAGGUACUUUAAAGGCCAGCAU